AGCUCCAAUAGCGUAUAUUAAAGUUGUUGCAGUUAAAACGCUCGUAGUCGGAUUUCGGGGCGGGCCGGCCGGUCUGCCGAUGGGUAUGCACUGGUUGGCGCGUCCUUCCUCCCGGAGACCGCGCCUACUCUUAACUGAGCGGGCGCGGGAGACGGGACGUUUACUUUGAAAAAAUCAGAGUGUUUCAAGCAGGCAGUCGCUCUUGCAUGGAUUAGCAUGGGAUAAUGAAAUAGGACUCUGGUGCUAUUUUGUUGGUUUCGAACACCGGAGUAAUGAUUAACAGGGACAGUCAGGGGCACUCGUAUUCCGCCGAGAGAGGUGAAAUUCUCAGACCAGCGGAAGACGAACCACUGCGAAAGCAUUUGCCAGGGAUGUUUUCA
rnacentral:rRNA from 1 species